AUGGCGCCCAAGGCCGCAGAGAAGAAGCCGGUGGAGAAGACCCCGGUGCUGAAGCAGGUGCACCCGGACAUCGGCAUCUCCUCCAAGGCCAUGUCCAUCAUGAACUCCUUCAUCAACGACAUCUUCGAGAAGCUCGCCGGCGAGUCCGCCAAGCUCGCGCGGUACAACAAGAAGCCCACCAUCACGUCGAGGGAGAUCCAGACCUCCGUUCGCCUCGUCCUCCCCGGCGAGCUUGCCAAGCACGCCGUCUCUGAGGGCACCAAGGCCGUCACCAAGUUCACCUCCUCCUAG
rnacentral:rRNA from 1 species